AUGGCAAUGAUCAGCGCCACCACCGUCGGCUUCGCCGCCAGGCCGUCGCCGGCUGCAGGGCUGCCUCAGCUGAGAGUGGCCAGGGCCGCGAGGCUGAGGUGCAGCUCCUCCAAGGACCACAAGAAGGCGGCGUCCUCGGCUGUGGCUCCGGCGGUAGCCAAGGGCGCGCGGCUGCUCGUUGCGGCCCCGGCACUGCUGGAGGUGGACGAGCGGAUGUCGGCUGAGCGCACCUGGCUGGGCGACAGCCUGCUGGGGUGGAUCCUGCUGGGCGCCGUCGGCCUCGUCCUGUCCUUCCACAGCGUCUACUCCUACAUCCUCGACGACGGCGACCAGUCCGGCAGCACGCUCUGA
rnacentral:rRNA from 1 species